UUUUGAUGUGUAGAAAUAUUUAUAAUGAUCAACUCUGUACAUUUAAGUUACCAACUUCAUUUCUUUUAGGAUGUUUCAUUAAUUUCCAUAUGCACUUCAGGAAAAAUCUGCCUAAGGAGGAGUAUAGAAGGGUAUCCACAAAUAUGUCCACUGACUUGUGUUUGAGCUGACUCCUGGAAAAAAGAGUGGCUAUUUGUACAGCUUCUGAGUUAGGGAGGAAGGCCUAUAUAGCCAGUGUGAAGUCUCUUUCCAAGGACUCAUGUGGAGAUUAACGUUGAAAUUAUACAGAAUUAAGAAAGAACAAGUGGAAAACACAAAACAAAGAAAGAAACCAGUCUUCAUUGUUUUGGUUAACUUCACAGAAGAUUACAGCCGGGAUGAGGACAUUUGUCCAGGAACUACUGUAAUAAGGCUACCAAUUAAUAGGGCACUGGACAGUUAUCAAAGAGUAGACAAUAUUAUUUAUGCUGACAUAACCUAUGUUGGAGCCAUGAACCUGAUGUGAAUUGCUUUUCAAUCUGUCAGUUCUCUCAGCCACCUUGUCAUCAUGUGCUGUCUCCUGCCUGCUUUCUGUUCAUUACCCAAAUUGAUAAGUGUCCAGGAGAACCUUUAAUUUACUUGCAAAUAUUUUUCUUCAUGUCUUGAAAUGAUGUGUUUACACUUACCUUUACUAAUGAGUCACUUCUGCUUUACUACAUUUUGAAUGGCUUUCCUUUACUUUAAUGUAAUUUAUCCUGUUCCUAUAUCCUGAAGUGUCAGGUACUGUUGAGAAAACUUGUAAGUGCAAUUGCUAAAAAUUGGCAUCUUUUGACUUUCCCAUAUGGCCCUCUAACUUUUACUUCUCCAGAUAUUUAAUUUUAGGGAAGAAAUAAACAAUUCUCCUUUCCAAAUAUUCUCA
rnacentral:lncRNA from 1 species